GAUGAACGCUGGCGGCGUGCCUAAUACAUGCAAGUCGAACGCACAGCGAAAGGUGCUUGCACCUUUCAAGUGAGUGGCGAACGGGUGAGUAACACGUGGACAACCUGCCUCAAGGCUGGGGAUAACAUUUGGAAACAGAUGCUAAUACCGAAUAAAACUUAGUGUCGCAUGACACAAAGUUAAAAGGCGCUUUGGCGUCACCUAGAGAUGGAUCCGCGGUGCAUUAGUUAGUUGGUGGGGUAAAGGCCUACCAAGACAAUGAUGCAUAGCCGAGUUGAGAGACUGAUCGGCCACAUUGGGACUGAGACACGGCCCAAACUCCUACGGGAGGCUGCAGUAGGGAAUCUUCCACAAUGGGCGAAAGCCUGAUGGAGCAACGCCGCGUGUGUGAUGAAGGCUUUCGGGUCGUAAAGCACUGUUGUAUAGGAAGAAUAAGGUAAACAGGGAAUGGUUUACUGAUGACGGUACUAUACGAGGAAGUCACGGCUAACUACGUGCCAGCAGCCGCAGUAACAC
rnacentral:rRNA from 1 species